rnacentral:rRNA from 1 species
GGGGCCAUCCCGGCUUACCAACCCGAUGCAAACUGCGAAUACCGGAGAAUGUUAUCACGGGAGACACACGGCGGGUGCUAACGUCCGUCGUGAAGAGGGAAACAACCCAGACCGCCAGCUAAGGUCCCAAAGUCAUGGUUAAGUGGGAAACGAUGUGGGAAGGCCCAGACAGCCAGGAUGUUGGCUUAGAAGCAGCCAUCAUUUAAAGAAAGCGUAAUAGCUCACUGGUCGAGUCGGCCUGCGCGGAAGAUGUAACGGGGCUAAACCAUGCACCGAAGCUGCGGCAGCGACGCUUAUGCGUUGUUGGGUAGGGGAGCGUUCUGUAAGCCUGCGAAGGUGUGCUGUGAGGCAUGCUGGAGGUAUCAGAAGUGCGAAUGCUGACAUAAGUAACGAUAAAGCGGGUGAAAAGCCCGCUCGCCGGAAGACCAAGGGUUCCUGUCCAACGUUAAUCGGGGCAGGGUGAGUCGACCCCUAAGGCGAGGCCGAAAGGCGUAGUCGAUGGGAAACAGGUUAAUAUUCCUGUACUUGGUGUUACUGCGAAGGGGGGACGGAGAAGGCUAUGUCGGCCGGGCGACGGUUGUCCCGGUUUAAGCGUGUAGGCUGACUUUCCAGGCAAAUCCGGAAAGUUAAGGCUGAGGCGUGAUGACGAGGCACCACGGUGCUGAAGUGACAAAUGCCCUGCUUCCAGGAAAAGCCUCUAAGCAUCAGGUAACAUCAAAUCGUACCCCAAACCGACACAGGUGGUCAGGUAGAGAAUACCAAGGCGCUUGAGAGAACUCGGGUGAAGGAACUAGGCAAAAUGGUGCCGUAACUUCGGGAGAAGGCACGCUGACAUGUAGGUGAAGCCCCUGCGGGUGGAGCUGAAGUCAGUCGAAGAUACCAGCUGGCUGCAACUGUUUAUUAAAAACACAGCACUGUGCAAACACGAAAGUGGACGUAUACGGUGUGACGCCUGCCCGGUGCCGGAAGGUUAAUUGAUGGGGUUAUCGCAAGAGAAGCUCCUGAUCGAAGCCCCGGUAAACGGCGGCCGUAACUAUAACGGUCCUAAGGUAGCGAAAUUCCUUGUCGGGUAAGUUCCGACCUGCACGAAUGGCGUAAUGAUGGCCAGGCUGUCUCCACCCGAGACUCAGUGAAAUUGAACUCGCUGUGAAGAUGCAGUGUACCCGCGGCAAGACGGAAAGACCCCGUGAACCUUUACUACAGCUUGACACUGAACAUUGAGCCUUGAUGUGUAGGAUAGGUGGGAGGCUUUGAAGCGUGGACGCCAGUCUGCGUGGAGCCGAC